CAACCUCAACUCAUAUGGGACUACCCCCUGAAUUUAAGCAUAUUAAUUAGGGGAGGAAAAGAAACUAACAAGGAUUUUCUUAGUAGCGGCGAGCGAAAAGAAAUCAGUUCAGCACUAAGUCACUUUGUCUAUAUGGCAAAUGUGAGAUGCAGUGUACGGAACAUCAACAUUCUAGUAUGAGAAGUUAACGAUUUAAGUCCUUCUUAAAUGAGGCCAUUUACCCAUAGAGGGUGCCAGGCCCGUAUAACGUUAAUGAUUACUAGAUGGUGUUUCCAAAGAGUCGUGUUGCUUGAUAGUGCAGCACUAAGUGGGUGGUAAACUCCAUCUAAAACUAAAUAUAACCAUGAGACCGAUAGUAAACAAGUACCGUGAGGGAAAGUUGAAAAGAACUCUGAAUAGAGAGUUAAAUAGUACGUGAAACUGCUUAGAGGUUAAGCCCGAUGAACCUGAAUAUCCGUUAUGGAAAAUUCAUCAUUAGA
rnacentral:ncRNA from 1 species